rnacentral:rRNA from 1 species
CACUCCUACGGGAGGCAGCAGUAGGGAAUCUUCCACAAUGGGUGCAAACCUGAUGGAGCAAUGCCGCGUGAGUGAAGAAGGUCUUCGGAUCGUAAAGCUCUGUUGUUAGAGAAGAACACGUGCUAGGUAACUACUAGCGCCUUGACGGUAUCUAACCAGAAAGUCACGGCUAACUACGUGCCAGCAGCCGCGGUAAUACGUAGGUGACAAGCGUUGUCCGGAUUUAUUGGGCGUAAAGGGAGCGCAGGCGGUCUGUUUAGUCUAAUGUGAAAGCCCACGGCUUAACCGUGGAACGGCAUUGGAAACUGACAGACUUGAAUGUAGAAGAGGAAAAUGGAAUUCCAAGUGUAGCGGUGGAAUGCGUAGAUAUUUGGAGGAACACCAGUGGCGAAGGCGAUUUUCUGGUCUAACAUUGACGCUGAGGCUCGAAAGCGUGGGGAGCGAACAGGAUUAGAUACCCGUGUAGUCCCAUGA